GUGCAAGUCGAACGGUAGAGGGGGCGAACCCCUUCGAGAGUGGCGAACGGGUGGAGUAAUAUAUCGGAACGUGCCCAGUCGUGGGGGAGUAACGUAGCGAAAGUUACGCUAAUACCGCAUACGAUCUACGGAUGAAAGCGGGGGACGUCGCAAGAGCCUCGCGCGAUUGGAGCGGCCGAUAUCAGAUUAGGUAGUUGGUGGGGUAAAGGCUCACCAAGGCGACGAUCUGUAGCGGGUCUGAGAGGAUGAUCCGCCACACUGGAACUGAGACACGGUCCAGACUCCUACGGGAGGCAGCAGUGGGGAAUUUUGGACAAUGGGGGCAACCCUGAUCCAGCCAUGCCGCGUGAGUGAAGAAGGCCUUCGGGUUGUAAAGCUCUUUCGGCCGGGAAGAAAUCGUAUGGGCUAAUACCCUGUGCGGAUGACGGUACCGGCAUAAGAAGCACCGGCUAACUACGUG
rnacentral:rRNA from 1 species